rnacentral:rRNA from 1 species
AGUGAGAAUGUUGGCAUGAGUAGCGAGAUGUGGGUGAGAAUCCCACAGGCCGUAAACCCAAGGUUUCCAGGGGAAGGUUCGUCCGCCCUGGGUUAGUCAGGACCUAAGCCGAGGCCGAAAGGCGUAGGUGAUGGACAACAGGUUGAUAUUCCUGUACCACCAAUAACCGUUUGAGAAAUGGGAUGACACAGUAGGAUAAGCUAACCGCACUGUUGGUUAUGUGCGGGCAAGUAUUGAGGCAGUUCCGAUAGGCAAAUCCGUCGGAAUAAUGCUGGGGUACGAUGCGGAGCGAAAUUUAGUAGCGAAGUAGCUGAUUUCACACUGUCGAGAAAAGUCUCUAUCGAGGUUAAAGGUGCCUGUACCGCAAACCGACACAGGUGGGUGAGGAGAGUAUCCUAAGGCCAGCGAGAGAACUGUUGUUAAGGAACUCGGCAAAAUGACCCCGUAACUUAGGGAGAAGGGGUGCCUUCGAAAGAAGGCCGCAGAGAAUAGGCCCAAGCGACUGUUUACCAAAAACAUAGGUUUCUGCUAAGUCGCAAGACGAUGUAUAGGAGCUGACGCCUGCCCGGUGCUGGAAGGUUAAGGGGAUCUGUUAGAGCAAUCGAAGCAGUGAACUUAAGCCCCAGUAAACGGCGGCCGUAACUAUAACGGUCCUAAGGUAGCGAAAUUCCUUGUCGGGUAAGUUCCGACCCGCACGAAAGGCGUAACGAUUUGGGCACUGUCUCAACAACAGACUCGGUGAAAUUGUAAUACCGGUGAAGAUGCCGGUUACCUGCGACAGGACGGAAAGACCCCAUGGAGCUUUACUGUAGCUUGACAUUGAGUCUCGGUGCUACAUGUACAGGAUAGGUGGGAGACUAUGAAGCAUGGACGUCAGUCUGUGUGGAGUCAUCCUUGGGAUACCACCCUUGUAGUACUGGGAUUCUAACCAGAGGCCAUGAAUCUGGUCUUGGGACACUGUCAGGUGGACAGUUUGACUGGGGCGGUCGCCUCCCAAAAAGUAACGGAGGCGCUCAAAGGUUCUCUCAGUACGGUCGGAAAUCGUACGAAGAGUGUAAAGGCAAAAGAGAGCUUGAUUGCAAGACAUACAGGUCGAGCAAGGACGAAAGUCGGACUUAGUGAUCCGGUGGUUCCGCAUGGAAGGGCCAUCGCUCAACGGAUAAAAGCUACCCUGGGGAUAACAGGCUGAUCUCCCCCAAGAGUCCACAUCGACGGGGAGGUUUGG